GACGAACGCUGGCGGCGUGCUUAACACAUGCAAGUCGAACGGAAAGGCCCUGCUUUUGUGGGGUGCUCGAGUGGCGAACGGGUGAGUAACACGUGAGUAACCUGCCCUUGACUUUGGGAUAACUUCAGGAAACUGGGGCUAAUACCGGAUAGGAGCUCCUGCUGCAUGGUGGUGGUUGGAAAGUUUCGGCGGUUGGGGAUGUACUCGCGGCUUAUCAGCUUGUUGGUGGGGUAGUGGCUUACCAAGGCUUUGACGGGUAGCCGGCCUGAGAGGGUGACCGGCCACAUUGGGACUGAGAUACGGCCCAGACUCCUACGGGAGGCAGCAGUGGGGAAUAUUGCACAAUGGGCGGAAGCCUGAUGCAGCAACGCCGCGUGCGGGAUGACGGCCUUCGGGUUGUAAACCGCUUUCGCCUGUGACGGAGCGUGAGUGACGGUAAUGGGUAAAGAAGCACCGGCUAACUACGUG
rnacentral:rRNA from 1 species